AGACCCCAAAACAACAGUCCCGCAGAUGCAGCUGCACCCCCAUCCCAGGGAGCAGCUGUGUCAGAACAACCCUCACAGCCCUCCAGUGCUUCUGGGGAGCACAACCAACACCAGAACAUGUACGUGGACACAGUGCUGCAGCCACAGCCAGGAAACAGCACAAACCUUCCACCUGCUUUACCCGCACAGUUGGGCUACCAACAGAGUUUAACACUAAAGAUUCAAGAGCUUGCACUUCAGUUUAAUUGCUAAGAUUUGCCUUUCAGAGAAGCAUCAUUUCAGAGUAGGAAACCCCACCAAGCUGAAGGCCAGAGGAGCCACACCAGGCCUGCAGUCAUCCAGCCUCCAGCUGAGCAUUUCUUCUUCCCCCCUCCCCCAUCUUUCUUCCUUUUCAAACGGCACAGAGAAAUUAAAGCAUCCCUUCUAUGCAACAUUUUGACUUUCCACUCUUAGCAGCAGAUUUUACAAAGCUCAGUCCAGCUGUAAUAUUAGUAAAGCACUGAGGAAAGCAUCUCAAAAUGAGCCAAGCAGGAUCUGGUGCGAGAUGGACCAGUGUCCAUGAGAUCCACUUCCUACAGAACACAUUGCCAGUAUUCGUCUUUUUUCUUUCUGCAGGACAGAUGCUAUGCACUGUCACUUCACACAAGAGCAACAGAGAGAAAGUUCACCACUAAUAAUUAAAGAAACAAAACUAUUAAACGCAGUCACUGUUCAACAGAGGAAACAUCCACCCCCAUACUUAAAGAAAAGGAUGCAUGAGGAAAUCCUCCUCAUUACACGAUCUGCAGAGAGCAGCUCCUCAAAUGAAGCUGGAAAUCAUCAAAGCAGGAUGAGAAAUGGCAGCCAUCCAACAAGAGCUCAGAGAAGUGGAACAAAGGACCAGUGACCUGAAACACCACACAAAAGAAAUGAAAUCUGUAUUUUAAAAGCAGCAUCCCCAGAAGCCACUUAAGAACAGUUUUUCAGUGUUUCGGUGUACUUCAUCCAGCACUUUAAAGAUCACCACUUGAAUUGUGCACUUCAAGUGCAUUAUCGGAUAAAUGCAGCCCUUUGCCUGCGUAUGUGAAUGACUCUGAAGACAGACACUUGCAUUCCCUGACUGUUGACUAUCUGUGCUUGCUUGGACACUGCCGCUUAAGCUGCUGAGUGCUUCUGCCUUUUCUCUCUGCCCUUCCCUGCCCACAGCUCACGUGGGACCACCUCAGCCAUGUGUGCGCCCCAAGCACAGCAGUGACCACCUGCAGGUGCAAGCAGGUAGAAAGUCACACAUUGCAUGGGCUACCCCAGGGACAGAGUGUAGACAGCCCCAGAUGCUCCCAGCCCCACGUCACAUCGCCACUCACCCAGUGCUCCACAGCCCUGCUCCCCCCGGUCCCACCUAAGCCAUUGCUCCCACCUGCCCCGUGGCUGUGUGCCCAUUCCUGCCAGGGCAGCUCUGUCAAGCUUGCUGCCACCCCACAGCACAGCCCCCAGCUCCCUGCAGUAGAACAAGUGGUCCUCUCCAUCAGCUACUGGUAUCAGAGGGAAGGGUGGGCUGUCUACUGUCUGAAAAAAUAAAGGUCAGCCCGAAUGCCUUCUACACUCAAGAAGAAAAACCUAAUGCAGUUAUGUCUAAGUACAGAUAGGAUGACCUGCUAAGGGAUGGAUCAUUUAUUCCAUCUACUGUGAACUUUAAGGAACAUUUAAGGUUGUUCAACAUUUCAGUUAUGCCUCAUGCUCUAAAAGAGGGAAAAAAAAAAAGAAAAAACCACCUGAUUUUCUUACCUUCCUUGCAUCUUCACACCUGUUUAAAUUCUGAUGGAAAUACGUUAUUUCAUCUGUAGCACAAAUAAACAAUAACAACAUAAUUCAUAGCAAAUAGUCCUUGCCUAAAACCAAAGAAUAUCCUUGGUGUGGCACUGAAAUUGCAAGCAUUAGUUCAGGAGAUGGUCAUCUGUGCAGGAAGUAAAAUAAUACAUCUUGCUUUCUGAAUGAGCUUCU
ensembl:lncRNA